GUGUCAGCCGCCGCGGUAAUACGGAGGGUGCAAGCGUUAUCCGGAUUCACUGGGUUUAAAGGGUGCGUAGGUGGGCAAGUAAGUCAGUGGUGAAAUCUCCGGGCUUAACCCGGAAACUGCCAUUGAUACUAUUUGUCUUGAAUACUGUGGAGGUCAGCGGAAUAUGUCAUGUAGCGGUGAAAUGCUUAGAUAUGACAUAGAACACCUAUUGCGAAGGCAGCUAACUACGCGAAUAUUGACACUGAUGCACGAAAGCGUGGGGAUCAAACAGGAUUGGAUACCCUUGUAGUCC
rnacentral:rRNA from 1 species